GUGCUUGCCACAGCAGCCCAUAUACUACAGUUGGAACAACACAGAAGAUAAACAUAGCUUCUUGCGUAAGGAUGACAUGCAAAUUUGUGAAGCAUUCCGUAUUAAA